rnacentral:rRNA from 1 species
AUUGAACGCUGGCGGCAGGCCUAACACAUGCAAGUCGAGCGGAUGAAGGGAGCUUGCUCCUGGAUUCAGCGGCGGACGGGUGAGUAAUUCCUAGGAAUCUGCCUGGUAGUGGGGGAUAACGUCCGGAAACGGGCGCUAAUACCGCAUACGUCCUGAGGGAGAAAGUGGGGGAUCUUCGGACCUCACGCUAUCAGAUGAGCCUAGGUCGGAUUAGCUAGUUGGUGGGGUAAAGGCCUACCAAGGCGACGAUCCGUAACUGGUCUGAGAGGAUGAUCAGUCACACUGGAACUGAGACACGGUCCAGACUCCUACGGGAGGCAGCAGUGGGGAAUAUUGGACAAUGGGCGGAAGCCUGAUCCAGCCAUGCCGCGUGUGUGAAGAAGGUCUUCGGAUUGUAAAGCACUUUAAGUUGGGAGGAAGGGCAGUAAGUUAAUACCUUGCUGUUUUGACGUUACCAACAGAAUAAGCACCGGCUAACUUCGUG